CCACAAACAAAAAUCAGAGCUGUUGCCUGAAGAAGGAGAAGGAUUGUCUAGAGCAGCACUCUAUAAAGGAAAUACAAGUUUCCUGACCUUGGUAAAAGCAGAAACUCCCUGGAUAGUUCAUUCUGCAGUGUGGCUUUGGAAGUCAUUGCAGGAAGCUCAGACUAGAGCCUGCUGUGCAGCCCUGCCAGUGAUUAGAGGUAUCCUUGCAUUUAAUACAAUUUCUUUUGCUUAAUCAUCUAAAGGGAAUUCUGUUAGUUGCAACUGAGAACACUGGCUGGUGCUUAUAUUAAACCAAUGAUCAAAAUCAGAUUUUAUUGACUCCAUGGAAAAAAUUAAUAUUUUAUGUAAUGGCAAAACUUGGAUGGUAUAAAUGGAAAGAAAAAAAUAGGCCUUUGAGCUACCUAUAUCUGUACUCAAACCU
rnacentral:lncRNA from 1 species